AUUGAACGCUGGCGGCAUGCCUAACACAUGCAAGUCGAACGGGGGCAGCAAUGCCCUAGUGGCGGACGGGUGAGGAAUACGUAGGAACCGGCCCACGAGUGGGGGACAACCUGGGGAAACCCAGGCUAAUACCGCAUACGCUCGCGAGAGGAAAGCGGGGGGACCUUCGGGCCUCGCGCUGGUGGACGGGCCUACGUCCGAUUAGCUUGUUGGUGGGGUAAAAGCCUACCAAGGCGACGAUCGGUAGCUGGUCUGAGAGGAUGAUCAGCCACACUGGGACUGAGACACCGGCCCAGACCUCCGUACGGGGAGGCAGCAGGU
rnacentral:rRNA from 1 species